rnacentral:rRNA from 1 species
GUGGGGAAUAUUGGACAAUGGGCGAAAGCCUGAUCCAGCCAUGCCGCGUGUGUGAAGAAGGUCUUCGGAUUGUAAAGCACUUUAAGUUGGGAGGAAGGGCAGUAAGUUAAUACCUUGCUGUUUUGACGUUACCAACAGAAUAAGCACCGGCUAACUUCGUGCCAGCAGCCGCGGUAAUACGAAGGGUGCAAGCGUUAAUCGGAAUUACUGGGCGUAAAGCGCGCGUAGGUGGUUUUGUAAGUUGGAGGUGAAAUCCCCGGGCUCAACCUGGGAACUGCCUCCAAAACUACUGAGCUAGAGUACGGUAGAGGGUAGUGGAAUUUCCUGUGUAGCGGUGAAAUGCGUAGAUAUAGGAAGGAACACCAGUGGCGAAGGCGACUACCUGGACUGAUACUGACACUGAGGUGCGAAAGCGUGGGGAGCAAACAGGAUUAGAAACCCCAGUAGUCC